rnacentral:rRNA from 1 species
UACGUAGGGGGCAAGCGUUGUCCGGAUUUACUGGGUGUAAAGGGCGCGCAUGUGGGCUUGAUAGUUAGAGGUGAAAUCCUGUGGCUUAACUGCAGAACUGCCUUUAAUACUUCAAGUCUUGAGUGCGGAAGAGAGAGACGGAAUUCCAGGUGUAGUGGUGAAAUACGUAGAUAUCUGGAAGAACACCAGUUGCGAAGGCGGUCUCUUGGUCCGUAACUGACACUUAGGCGCGAAAGCGUGGGGAGCAAACAGG